AAACUCCACCCUCACCACUACGUUGGAGUCUUCCCAUUCAGUCAUCAUCCAAUUUGCUCCAAACACAAGCAGACACUUCUUACAGAUGGCUGUCCUCUAGAAUGAAAAUGCACACCAACCACCGGCAAACAUCAAAAGCUAAUCCAACCUUUGGUCUUCGGAAACCCCGUGACUAAUGCAAUGUUGGUGCCCUAGAAGACAAGUCAGCGCAGUUCAGACGAGCCAGCCAGAGGAGGUCACCGCCAGCCUUGUAUCGAGGUCCCAACGUCCUUCAUCGGGGAACUCGGCAUGGAUAUGCAAGACAACACUCGAAUCACUGUUGGACAAAUGCCUGAAACGGCUGGAAAAAUAGAAAAGAUGGUUACAGAGACUGUUAUUGCUGUUCUUCUUUCAAUACAAUAUUUGCCUUCCAUAAAAUAUUCCCAUGUUCCAA